rnacentral:miRNA from 1 species
GUUCGAAUCUCGCCGGUGCCU